GAUGAACGCUGGCGGCGUGCCUAAUACAUGCAAGUCGAGCGAACAGAUAAGGAGCUUGCUCCUUUGACGUUAGCGGCGGACGGGUGAGUAACACGUGGGUAACCUACCUAUAAGACUGGAAUAACUCCGGGAAACCGGGGCUAAUGCCGGAUAACAUGUUGAACCGCAUGGUUCUACAGUGAAAGGCGGCUUUGCUGUCACUUAUAGAUGGACCCGCGCCGUAUUAGCUAGUUGGUGAGGUAACGGCUCACCAAGGCAACGAUACGUAGCCGACCUGAGAGGGUGAUCGGCCACACUGGAACUGAGACACGGUCCAGACUCCUACGGGAGGCAGCAGUAGGGAAUCUUCCGCAAUGGGCGAAAGCCUGACGGAGCAACGCCGCGUGAGUGAUGAAGGUCUUCGGAUCGUAAAACUCUGUUAUUAGGGAAGAACAAAUGCGUAAGUAACUGUGCGCGUCUUGACGGUACCUAAUCAGAAAGCCACGGCUAACUACGUGCCAGCAGCCGCGGUAAUACGUAGGUGGCAAGCGUUAUCCGGAAUUAUUGGGCGUAAAGCGCGCGUAGGCGGUUUUUUAAGUCUGAUGUGAAAGCCCACGGCUCAACCGUGGAGGGUCAUUGGAAACUGAAAAACUUGAGUGCAGAAGAGGAAAGUGGAAUUCCAUGUGUAGCGGUGAAAUGCGCAGAGAUAUGGAGGAACACCAGUGGCGAAGGCGACUUUCUGGUCUGUAACUGACGCUGAUGUGCGAAAGCGUGGGGAUCAAACAGGAUUAGAUACCCUGGUAGUCCACGCCGUAAACGAUGAGUGCUAAGUGUUAGGGGGUUUCCGCCCCUUAGUGCUGCAGCUAACGCAUUAAGCACUCCGCCUGGGGAGUACGGCCGCAAGGCUUAAACUCAAAGGAAUUGACGGGGACCCGCACAAGCGGUGGAGCAUGUGGUUUAAUU
rnacentral:rRNA from 1 species